rfam:Kazachstania saulgeensis genome assembly, contig: scaffold_03
GCUUUUAUGGCCAAGUUGGUAAGGCGCCACACUAGUAAUGUGGAGAUCCUCGGUUCAACUCCGAGUGAAAGCA